UACCACAGGGAUAACUGGCU
rnacentral:ncRNA from 2 species